rnacentral:ncRNA from 1 species
ACUAUAUAAACAAAGCGAAUAUAAUACACUUGAAUAAUUUUGAACGAAAGGGAAUACGGUUCCAAUUCCGUAACCUGUUGAGUAUCCGUUUGUUAUUAAAUAUGGGCCUCGUGCUCAUCCUGGCAACAGGAACGACCAUAAAGAAGCCGUCGAGAGAUAUCGGAAGAGUUUUCUUUUCUGUUUUAUAGCCGUACUACCAUGGAAGUCUUUCGCAGAGAGAUAUGGUAGAUGGGCUAGAAGAGCAUGACAUAUACUGUUGUGUCGAUAUUUUCUCCUCGGACCUUGAAAAUUUAUGGUGGGGACACGCAAACUUCUCAACAGGCCGUACCAAUAUCCGCAGCUGGUCUCCAAGGUGAAGAGUCUCUAGUCGAUAGAAUAAUGUAGGUAAGGGAAGUCGGCAAAUUAGAUCCGUAACUUCGGGAUAAGGAUUGGCUCUGAAGAUUGAGAUAGUCGGGCUUGAUUGGGAAACAAUAACAUGGUUUAUGUGCUCGUUCUGGGUAAAUAGAGUUUCUAGCAUUUAUGUUAGUUACUUGUUCCCCGGAUAGUUUAGUUACGUAGCCAAUUGUGGAACUUUCUUGCUAAAAUUUUUAAGAAUACUAUUUGGGUUAAACCAAUUAGUUCUUAUCAAUUAUAACGAUUAUCAAUUAACAAUCAAUUCAGAACUGGCACGGACUUGGGGAAUCCGACUGUCUAAUUAAAACAAAGCAUUGUGAUGGCCCUAGCGGGUGUUGACACAAUGUGAUUUCUGCCCAGUGCUCUGAAUGUCAAAGUGAAGAAAUUCCAGUAAGCGCGGGUCAACGGCGGGAGUAACUAUGACUCUUCUAAGGGGGGACUCUCUUGGGGAUUUGGGGUAAUUGCGAGCAGAGGGGG